UGAGAUGUAAUUUAGUGGUAGAAUGUGUGUUUAGCAUGUGCAAGGCCCUGAAUUCAAUCCCCAGCAUCUUUU
rnacentral:tRNA from 1 species